rnacentral:rRNA from 1 species
CCUACGGGUGGCAGCAGUGGGGAAUAUUGCACAAUGGGGGAAACCCUGAUGCAGCAACGCCGCGUGAGUGAAGAAGUAUUUCGGUAUGUAAAGCUCUAUCAGCAGGGAAGAAAAUGACAGUACCUGACUAAGAAGCCCCGGCUAACUACGUGCCAGCAGCAGCGGUAAUACGUAGGGGGCAAGCGUUAUCCGGAUUUACUGGGUGUAAAGGGAGCGUAGACGGCUGCGCAAGUCAGAAGUGAAAGCCCGGGGCUCAACCGCGGGACUGCUUUUGAAACUGUGUAGCUUGAGUGCAGGAGAGGUAAGUGGAAUUCCUAGUGUAGCGGUGAAAUGCGUAGAUAUUAGGAGGAACACCGGUGGCGAAGGCGGCUUACUGGACUGUAACUGACGUUGAGGCUCGAAAGCGUGGGGAGCAAACAGGAUUAGAUACCCGUGUAGUC